rnacentral:rRNA from 1 species
AUUUAUGGAGAGUUUGAUCCUGGCUCAGAGUGAACGCUGGCGGCGUGCCUAACACAUGCAAGUCGAGCGAGGUUUAACAGAACACCGUUAGAUCUAGCGGCAGACGGGUGAGUAACACGUAAGAAACCUCCCCUGAAAUGGAGAAUACCCCCGAGAAAUCGGGGCUAAUGCUGCAUAAGACCACAUUCCGGCAUCGGAAAGGGGUCAAAGGCCCGCAAGGGUCGUUUCAGGAUGGUCUUGCGAUCUAUCAGCUAGUUGGUGAGGUAACGGCUCACCAAGGCAGUGACGGAUAGCCGGCCUGAAAGGGCGAUCGGCCACACUGGAACUGAGACACGGUCCAGACUCCUACGGGAGGCAGCAGUGGGGAAUUUUGGACAAUG